GAGAAGCGAGGAGACACACAGCGGCAUCCCAGCUGACUCUCCUAUGCCCUGGUUCAGCAGAGCACAAUGCAGGAUCUCUACCUGAACCCAGAGCUCCCUGAUUCAUCUGGGCUGACUGACCAGCAUGGCCCAAUGGCCCUCCUGUCUCUACCUCCCAGGACUAGGAUUGCAGGUUCACCCAGCCCCAGUCUUACCUCCCCUACUGACUGCAGCAGUGGUCGUUACGAAACAGCUGUGGCACUAUCCAACGGAGUGCUGCAUACACCUACAGUCUUCACUUGCUCUCUUUCAACUUGGGAUUCAUUUUGGGAAUGGUGCCUUUUCUAUUUAUGUCUUAGGAGUCUCUCGUGGUCUGACGUGCUACCAGGGAUGUCCGCCUUUUAGA